rnacentral:rRNA from 1 species
UACGAAGGGGGCUAGCGUUGCUCGGAAUCACUGGGCGUAAAGGGUGCGUAGGCGGGUCUUUUAAGUCAGGGGUGAAAUCCUGGAGCUCAACUCCAGAACUGCCUUUGAUACUGAAGAUCUUGAGUCCGGGAGAGGUGAGUGGAACUGCGAGUGUAGAGGUGAAAUUCGUAGAUAUUCGCAAGAACACCAGUGGCGAAGGCGGCUGACUGGGUCCGGUUCUGGACGCUGAGGCGGCGAAAGCGUGGGGAGCAAACAGG